CAUCUCAUACCAUUGGAAUGAAAGGAUGAAGCAAUGGGCUUGUGCCUUGUCACCAAGGUGCAAAGACAAGGCCACCAGUCUCAACAGGACCCCCAGCCCAGCCCCAAUGGACCCUCACCUCCUCUGAAGCAGACAAAAUGAUGACAAAGGUCUGAGCGAGGUCUGCAGGACCUGGUAUUUGGUGGAACCAUGAAAUGAAGAGAGGCAAACCAUGGCUGCAUCUACAUCGUGCUUGUUAAAUUAAUCUUACCAAAUAAAAAGAUCAACAGGCCAUUCCCCA
ensembl:lncRNA